rnacentral:rRNA from 1 species
UACGUAGGGGUGCAAGCGUUAAUCGGAAUUACUGGGCGUAAAGCGUGCGCAGGCGGUUGGUCGUGUCCUGUGUGAAAGCCCCGGGCUUUAACCUGGGAAUGGCAUGGGGAGAACUGGCUAGCUGGAGUGUGGCAGAGGGGGGGUGGAAUUCCGCGUGUAGCAGUGAAAUGCGUAGAGAUGCGGAGGAACACCGAUGGGCGAAGGCAGCCCCCCUGGGCUGACACUGACGCUCAGGCACGAAAGCGUGGGGAGCAAACAGG